AAACAUAAACAUAAAAAAAAAUGAAUGCUAAAGAAAUAAAAUGCUAUAUAUAGGUAUCGAACCCACUCCACUAAAGACCAUGAAACUACUCCCUCUCCACUAGACAAAUUAUGAUUAGUUAUCAUUUAAAUAACAACUUAAAUAUAUAAACCAUACUAGAUUGGAAAAAAAAAAAGAAACUAAAAUAAUAAUAAUAAUAA
rnacentral:lncRNA from 1 species